rnacentral:rRNA from 1 species
CCUACGGGGGGCAGCAGUGGGGAAUAUUGGGCAAUGGAGGCAACUCUUACCCAGCAAUGCCGCGUGAAUGAAGAAGGUCUUCGGAUUGUAAAGUUCUUUAAUUGGGGACGAAAAAAAUGACGGUACCUCUUGAAUAAGCCACGGCUAACUACGUGACAGCAGCCGCGGUAAUACGUAGGUGGCAAGCGUUGUCCGGAUUUACUGGGUGUAAAGGGCGUGUAGCCGGGCUGACAAGUCAGAUGUGAAAUUCCGGGGCUCAACCCCGGACCUGCAUUUGAAACUGUUGGUCUUGAGUAUCGGAGAGGUAGGCGGAAUUCCUAGUGUAGCGGUGAAAUGCGUAGAUAUUAGGAGGAACACCAGUGGCGAAGGCGGCCUGCUGGACGACAACUGACGGUGAGGCGCGAAAGCGUGGGGAGCAAACAGGAUUAGAUACCCGAGUAGUC